GUUUUUAUUUUUGUUUUUUUGUUGUUUUUUUGUUUUUGUUGUUUUUGUUUUUUUUGUUUUUUUUGCCUCCACUGAAUCAUUCAUUUUGGCACGACAUGGUGUUAAUCUUGAACAGACUGCAAAAUUCUGAUAUCGCACUGUUGUUCAAAUUUAGUGCAUUAUCUGAUAUGAGCCCUUUGGCAUUCCAUACCGACAUGUGAUUUCUUUUUCAUGAAUU
rnacentral:lncRNA from 1 species